GAUGAAGAACGUAGUGAAAUGCGAUACGUAAUGCGAAUUGCAGAUCUAGUGAAUCAUCGAGUCUUUGAACGCACAUUGCGCCCCCCGGCACUCCGGGGGGCUUGUCCGACCGAGCGCCGCAGCGCCGCCCAGGCCUCCCUCGCCCCCGCUGAGGACAGCGGGGGCGAGUGGGGGCCUGGUGUUGGGGCACGCCGACGCCCCAGAGCGUCGGCGGCCCUGAAAUCCAGCCGCGGCCGCCGCAGCCCCAGCGCGGCCUCCCCCUAGGCGCAGUACGUUCUCACCUGUAAAAGGGUGCUGCCGCCUGCGAGGGAGAGGUCCCUGCGACGGCCCGUCACCGGAUGGGGGGGUUAGGGCUCCGCCCGCCCGCCCGCCACCACGAACCCAGGUUGGCCUCGGGUCGGACAAGGUUACCCGCUGAACUUAAGCAUAUCAAUAAGCGGAGGA
rnacentral:misc_RNA from 1 species